ACACCAGUGGUGUAUGGUACACACAAUCGUACACUUUCGUUUGCAAGAAGUAGUGAUCGAGUCCGGGGUUCGAUUCCCUGCUGGUGCA